ensembl:lncRNA
AUGCCACCAAUCACAGCACAGCACACCCGCUUCCCACCAAUCACGGCAGAGAGGCUGGAGUCCCCCACCAAUCCCAGCACAGCACACCUGCCUCCCACCAACGACGGGGGGGGGACAGGGCUCCCAGCGGUCACCAGAAGGAUGCCACCAACGCCACCGGCCCCACACGGUGCCCAGUACCUGCGGGGGGGUCCGGAGGGGCCUGCAGGGCAUACAGGGGCGCCCCUUGCCCGGCCGUGCUCAGCUCCUCGGAGUCAUCCAGCGAGCGCAGGGAGCCCUGCGGGGACACCUCGGCCAGGAUCACCUGGGGGGGUGGCACACGGCACACGGCGCUGGAUGUGGCACACGGCACGGCGCACAGCACACGGCAUGGCACACAGCACACGGCAUGGCACACGGUGCAAAUACAUGGCACACAGCACAUGGUGCAGCACGGCAUGGGAGGGCACACGGCACAACGUUCGGUGCACGGUGCAGCACACAGCACAACACACGGUGCAGCGCAAGGCACAUAGCGUGGCACAGCACGGCACAUGGCACAGCACGGCACAUGGCACAUGCUGUGGCAGCAGCUCUGGGGGCCACCCCAUUACCUGCUGGGGGGGCACGUCCCCCUCCCGUGCCACCAUCUCGCGCAGCUCCGCAGCCGUGCCCAGCAGCGGCACCGCCAGCCCCACGCGCAGCGAGCGCCCGCCCUCGCGCUGCAGCACCAGCGUCACGUUCAGUGCCCUGGGGACACCACGGCGGGGAUGUCACGCGUGCCCCGGGCGCAGCGGUGCCAGCACGUGUCCCGCCUUGCCAGGCACCGCCAUCUCCCGCACGCCCAGUUGUCCCCAGAUGGCACAAAUGGCCGUUUCUGGAGCGGGAUGCCCCGAGCAGCACCGACCGUCCCCUCGCCAUGCGCUCACCUGGUCUGGCGCACGGGGAUGGGCAGCGAGAUGCACAGGAAUGGGUCGAAGGUGUUGCUCUGCUUCCGGCAGUGCGGGCACGUCAGGGAGGACCUGCACGCACGGGCACAUCAAUGGCAUGUCUCUGAGCACCCGUGCGGGGUGUGGGCAUCGGGACAUGUACCCAGGGGCUGGGCGGCCACAAGGCACAGCCACAUCCCACACUAUGCGCAGGCACGAGGCACAGCCGGCAGCUGUUCACUGUGAGCCCUAUGGAGCAGCACUGCAGGGACGCAGCUCGGUACCGUGUCACCCACAGCAAAGCCGGGCACGGCUCAGCCCCCUCCCGACACCACAGGGCUGGAUCCUGCCCACGGAGCUCACCUGUACUGCGCCUGGAAGUGGCUCUGCACAAAGCUCUCCCCACCAGCACCGCUCUGCUCUGCACCGCGCUGCAGGGACACGGGACAAACGGGGUGAGCCCCACACCAGUAUGACCCCCUCCUUCCUCAGGCACUGCUGUGGGGUUCCCAUGGGCUGCACGGCACGGGGACCCCCACCCAAUCCCACUGUUCUCAGUCUCCCAUCCUGUGAAAUGGGUGCACUUGGGCCAAAGGUACCCAGCGCACACCAGUGCUGGGAUGGGGAACACCAGGAGGUGCUGCUGGAGAAGGACCAGGAUGGUUUUGGGAGCAGAAGAGAAGUUUUUUGGCGUUGCAGUGAACAAGCCUGA